rnacentral:rRNA from 1 species
UACGGAGGGUGCAAGCGUUAAUCGGAAUUACUGGGCGUAAAGCGCUCGCAGGCGGUCUGUCAAGUCGGAUGUGAAAUCCCCGGGCUCAACCUGGGAACUGCAUUCGAAACUGGCAGACUAGAGUCUGGUAGAGGGGGCUAGAAUUCCAGGUGUAGCGGUGAAAUGCGUAGAGAUCUGGAGGAACACCGGUGGCGAAGGCGGCCCCCUGGGCCAAGACUGACGCUGAGGUGCGAAAGCGUGGGGAGCAAACAGG